ensembl:lncRNA
UAUCAUUUUAAUAAAUACUUUUAAUACUUACUGUCCCCAAUAUUUUCAUCCCUGUACUUUCUUAGUAAUUAUUUUCUUAGUAAUUAAACUGACUUAACCUAUCUUUAAGCGUUACAACUCACCCCUUGUUUCUAGACACUCUGUUGGUUUCUGUGUGUGUGUGUGUCUUUGACCUCAGCUCGUAGACCUCCCCUAAGGCUACACUGCUUGGGCCCAUGUGUUAGCACCUCUCAGUGCUGGACACACCUGUCAUUGAUUAGCGUGAGUGUGUAACCAAUCCGGUAUGUCUUCCCUCAUAAAACAAUGCAUCCAAUUUCAGCUUUGCUACAAGCUGACCCAAUGUAUACAGUUAUUUUAAACAUAAGUACCACCAUACCGGCUUUUAGCUUUUCUCCCUGAAGCCACGGAAAUUCUGUUGGCUGUAAUGCAGUUUUCACGUGUGCGAGUGCUUAUAGAGGCCCCACUAAUGUGGCUCAUAUAACAUGCAGAACAAUAAUGGUAAACCUUAAUUUCCACUAACUAUAUUUGUUGUUGCAGCUCUGUCUGUGAUCCCAUCCCUCAACUACAGUACUGUGCAUGUGAAACAAAGAACAGCUGCUCCUCUUCGCAUCAUGCUUUGAAUGUAUGCACCAUUCCUCGGCCCGCAAAGUAGAUCCCCAGGACAAAACCUCAGGAAGACGUCUGUCCCACAGGAACCAGGCUGACCACUGCCACCGGCACUUGACGAGCUUGUCAGCCACAUGAAGCAGGCCAGCCUCUUUUCUUAUCAUCAGGAAGUUGUCAGAUGUAAGGGAAGAGCAGUAAUGGGUCUUCUGUUGACUUUACAUCCUUGGAAAGUCCGCCUGGGCCUCACACCUGCUGUCUAUCCAGACGUUUGGAAUCUCUGCAUUGAUAGACAGGAUGCAAGAUCUGGAAAGUAUGCAGGCGGCCGAAGACCCUUAAAGGUGCACUCUGUGCGUCGAGGAAAUGGUCAGGAAUGUCAGCAUUGUUUGAAUGCCCAUGCUGUUAAUCAUCAAUAUAAACACCUGUAUACUUAAUAUAAUUCACAGGGCCUUUUAUUAAAGGUUUUUUUCCUUGUUUUGACGGGACACUCAAAGCGGGAGAUCAUGAGGUCGCCUCUCCAUGAUAACCAGAGUGUAACACUCAUGGGUGGUUUUGGUUUAUGUAUUAAUUCAUUGCGGUCAGCUGACAGUGUGCUCUGAAGGGUAGUGUCACCGAGUGCACUGGCAGCUUGACAAGUGCCCCAUCUGACAGAGGCCAGACUGAAUGUCCUUGACAGUAGCAUAGCGCUGCCAGGAGUGCUUCAGUGGCAGCAGAAUACAUAAUUGGUGACACGAUGAGCAAAGAGGACACUUGACAGAAGUCCUGGGCUGGAGAGUGAAAGGCACACUGGCAGCCUUCACAAACUCAAAGACGUCUGAGCAGCUCAUGGUUGAUUGAGACUCGGUCUUGGUUUCUUGGUUCAAAGUACAGUUUAAUGGCUGUCAGCUAUAUGCUAUUAACCUCCUUAAAGGAUUUGUUUACUCAGUUAAAGUACGUCAUUAUUAGUUGAUUAACCCUCCCCAUUAGUGAACUAUUGCAGCUUAGUUUACAAAUUGUAUGAACCAGUGUUAUGAUGCUUUAGUCUGGAGCUUGAAAGCUUCUUGCAAGUUUUAGAAGGACGUUAUGACAGAAUUUUUACUUUUUGGGUCAACUGUCUCUUUAAAGAAAAAUGCAUCAAAAUAAUUACCAAGAGUUUGCAACUAAUAAUAUCUAUAAAUAUACUACAGUAUAGCUGAUAAUAUAUUAUCAAUCAUACUAGACCAACAUUUUGCUCAUGGUUUUGGAAAAACAAUCUCAUGGCAGUUUGUAACUAUUUUUAUGAUAUGGCAAAUUAUUAAAGUUGUUCAAUGAAUUCAUACAACCUCAUGUAUACAUUUCUGUACGACCUGCUUAUACCCCAUUAAGGGUUAGGUUUAGGAAUGGACCUUAAUGCUUAGUUUUGUUAUAAAAAAUUACAUUUUCGUAUAAAUCAAAUCAUACUAAUACAGAAUUUCCAACUCAUAAAUGCUUUUUUUGAUGAGAUGAGGUAAAAAAUAAUAAAAAAAAGAAAAUGUUCA